rnacentral:rRNA from 1 species
GACGUAGGGCGCGAGCGUUGUCCGGAUUUACUGGGCGUAAAGAGCGCGCAGGCGGUCGUUCAAGUCGAGUGUGAAAGCCCCCGGCUCAACUGGGGAGGGUCAUUCGAUACUGAUCGACUCGAAGGCAGGAGAGGGAAGCGGAAUUCCCGGUGUAGUGGUGAAAUGCGUAGAUAUCGGGAGGAACACCAGUGGCGAAGGCGGCUUCCUGGC